rnacentral:lncRNA from 1 species
GGUCACACAGAAGAGGCCUCGUGGGAGGCUCUCCAUUUCCUGGCAUAAGUGAUGGGCACAAAGAGGCUGAAGUAGCUGUAUCUCCUGUUAGGCAGCCCCGUGUUCAGUCCUUAUUAGAAAGGAGAGUUCCAGCCCAGAAAGAUUGCUAAUCUUGAUUUUGCGACCCCCUUCCCCCAGGGUAUCUCGGAUUUUGUCCCAAAUUAGUGGAGUCUUUCCAAGUGCGUGCUUGAGAGUGUGAAUUCGAUUCAGUGCUAGAAGGAAAUUUUACAGUCUUCUGUAAAGGGAAGUUUUGAGGUUAACAGUGGUCUUUUGGGAAAAUUUAUUCAUUAAUUUAUCAAGUAUUUAAAUAUUUGCUACAUGCCUAGCACUGUUCCAAUCUCCUUAUCACCAGCCAUCUCAGCAAGUUGAUUAAUCUCUCUUGGGAGGAUGCUGGAAGAGAAGGGAAGUCAGGUUUCCAAGCACAGUGCCUGGCACAUAGUAGAUAUUUCACUAGGGCCAGUUCUUCCUCUGCCCCCAUUCAUCAAUAGAUAAAUAGAUAAAAGGUAUCCAGGGAUGGAAGAGGUGGUUCUCAAUGUCUAUUGUAUAGUCAGAUAUGACUGUGCAGUGUUUGGGAAUAGGAGAAAGUCCUGGCUUUUGGUUUUCAAUAAAAUCUCUAGCCUUGCUCCUCAGAGACCAGCACUGACAUUGCCUGGGAGCUUGUUAAGAAUACAGUCUCAGGCUCUGUUCCAGACCCAGUGAAUCAGAACCUGCAUUUUAAUAAAAUUUUCAGGUUAUUCUGUGCACAUUGGAGAAGCACUGGAUUUCACCCUGAAGGCUGGGCAGUGAAGGAAGGGAGGGCGGCAGGUAAGGGGAAUACUUCCUCCUUCAGUCACUUUGGGGACUCCUGGCCUGAGCAGUUCGUGCACCCCCAGCAUGGAGGCAGAGCCUAGAGGGACAUGGUCUCCAGCCGGCUGCACUCUCAGAAGUGACACAGGGCUUGCUGGCUUCUACUACAGAAAAGAAGAGAAAGCAGUUCUUAUCUGAAAUGAAUACAAAGUUAAAAAAAAAAAAAAAA